UUAGGAAUCUUGGACAAUGGGCGCAAGCCUGAUCCAGCCAUGCCGCGCGAGUGAUGAAGGCCCUAGGGUUGUAAAGCUCUUUCAGCGGGGAAGAUAAUGACGGUACCCGCAGAAGAAGCCCCGGCUAACUUCGUGCCAGCAGCCGCGGUAAUACGAAGGGGGCUAGCGUUGCUCGGAAUCACUGGGCGUAAAGCGCACGUAGGCGGCUUUCUAAGUCAGGGGUGAAAUCCCGGAGCUCAACUCCGGAACUGCCUUUGAUACUGGAAAGCUUGAGUCCGGGAGAGNUGAGUGGAACUGCGAGUGUAGAGGUGAAAUUCGUAGAUAUUCGCAAGAACACCAGUGGCGAAGGCGGCUCACUGGCCCGGUACUGACGCUGAGGUGCGAAAGCGUGGGGAGCAAACA
rnacentral:rRNA from 1 species